CAAGUCUGGUGCUAGCAGCCGCGAUAAUUACAGCUCCAAUAGCGUAUAUUUAAGUUGUUGUAGUUAAAAAGCUUGUAGUUGGACCUCGGGUUAGGUCGAUCGGUCCGCCUAUGGUAUGUACCGAUUGACUCGUCCCUUCUGCCGGCGAUGCGCUCUAGGCCUUAAUUUGCCGGGUCGUGCCUCUGACGCUGUUACUUUAAAGAAAUUAGAGUGCUCAAAGCAAGCCUACACUCUG
rnacentral:lncRNA from 1 species